GAGAGGCCAAGACCUUGGGAAUGGGGGUAAGGGCCUUCUGAGCCCAGGUCCGAACUCUCCAUUCCUCUGCAGAGCGCUCU
ensembl:miRNA MIR6716 microRNA 6716